AGAUGGCAAGAUACUACAAGGAUUGUAUGUUGCCCAACCUUCGAUCGUAGUCUACGAAAUAUCAAGAAAGCAAUUGAGCCCGAAAGUACAACAAGGCGGGAUUAUGUGCGAAGCCAAGAUUUAGAAAUACCAGCAGAAGAACCAGCAGGAUGUCCCGCUUUACCGAGACCAGAGCUCAGAAAUCAAAUCCAACAUUUAGCUUGGUCAAAAUGUCUGGACUACCAACGUUUCUCGAACAGAUGUAUACCAAUAAACAAAAAAAAAACAAUAUACAAGCGCGUCAGCACAUGCGU